rnacentral:rRNA from 1 species
UACGGGGGGGGCAAGCGUUGUUCGGAAUUACUGGGCGUAAAGGGCUCGUAGGUGGCCAACUAAGUCAGACGUGAAAUCCCUCGGCUUAACCGGGGAACUGCGUCUGAUACUGGAUGGCUUGAGUUUGGGAGAGGGACGCGGAAUUCCAGGUGUAGCGGUGAAAUGCGUAGAUAUCAAGAGGAACACCUGCGGCGAAGGCGGGUUGCUGGGCCGACACUGACGCUGAUGCGCGAAAGCUAGGGGAGCGAACGGG